rnacentral:tRNA from 1 species
GCGAGCGUGGCGGAAUUGGCAGACGCGCCAGGUUUAGGUCCUGGUGGGCAUUAGCCCGUAGGGGUUCAAGUCCUCUCGCUCGCA